UGGGGAAUAUUGCGCAAUGGGCGAAAGCCUGACGCAGCAACGCCGUGUGAGGGAUGAAGGCUUUCGGGUCGUAUACCUCUGUCGGAAGGGAAGAACGGGCAUUGGUCUAAUAGGCCUUUGUUUUGACGGUACCUUUAGAGGAAGCACCGGCUAACUCCGUGCCAGCAGCCGCGGUAAUACGGAGGGUGCAAGCGUUAUUCGGAAUUACUGGGCGUAAAGCGCACGUAGGCCGCUUUGUAAGUCAGGGGUGAAAUCCCACGGCUCAACCGUGGAACUGCCCUUGAAACUGCGAAGCUUGAAUCCUGGAGAGGGUGGCGGAAUUCCUGGUGUAGGAGUGAAAUCCGUAGAUAUCAGGAGGAACACCGGUGGCGAAGGCGGCCACCUGGACAGGUAUUGACGCUGAGGUGCGAAAGUGUGGGGAGCAAACAG
rnacentral:rRNA from 1 species